rnacentral:lncRNA from 1 species
GCGAGAGUUUACGUGAUUUUGUGUGUUGUUUUUUCACCUCAACUGCCGAGUACUGAGGGAAGCUCAGGAAGCUCUGAAGAUACAGCAUGGCCAGCACAUCCUCACUCUCCACAAAGAAUGCAGUGACAUAUGAGGAUGUGCAUGUGAACUUUACUCGGGAAGAAUGGGCUUUGCUGGAUCCUUCCCAGAAGAGUCUCUACAAGGAUGUGAUGCUGGAGACCUACAGGACCCUCAGAGCUAUAGAGAAUUUCAUUUUCAGAGGAAUGUCUUCCCUGUGAAUGCUCAAGACUCCAUGCUGGUUAGAAACUGCUGAAGUCCUGGAGAAAGAGAUCUCCAGGGAAGAAGCAGAACAUAGAGAACAGCAGACUGAAAAAGCUGUCUCAAGCAGAACACAGGUCAUCGGCUAGAAUCCACAGUUUGACUUGUAGUCAUGUUUUUUUUUGUUUUUGUUUUUUUGCUUUUUGGGUUUGUUUUUGUUUUUGUUUUGUUUUUUUGGCUAUUCCCAGACACCCCUUGUAUCAGAACCCCUAUCAGAGCCAAGUCUGGUCAUUGGCAGUACUUAUUUAAGGUCUCGUUUUUUUCAAUGUGUCUAGGUGGUUCCUUAAGAAACUCCAGGUGUACAUAUGUGGUUUGAAUUGUCUCUGGGUCUUCAACUCUAUUGCAUUAAUCAAGAUCUGUGUAUGUAUGCCAGUGCCAUGAGGUUAUUUUCCUGAUCCCGAUUGUUUUAACUCUCCUGGGUUUUUGUCCUGGGAGCUGGAAAUUGUCAUUUCAAGGUCUGUAAACUUUUUUUUGGCAUUUUGUCAGGCAUUGUGUUGAAUUUGUAGAUUACUUUUGUGAAGAUUUGUGUUUUGACUGCAUCAAUCCUACCAAUUCGUGAGCAUGAGAAAGUUUCCCAUCUUCUUAUGUCUACUUCAGUUUCUUUUACUAAUUCAACUUAUCUUGCAAAUCUUUCAUUUGCUUUUUUUAAAGUGACUUGCUUUUUAAAUGUUACUCUGACACAUUUUAUGUUAUUUAUUAUACUGUUGCUCUG